rnacentral:rRNA from 1 species
AACGAACGCUGGCGGCAGGCUUAACACAUGCAAGUCGAACGCACCUUUCGGGGUGAGUGGCAGACGGGUGAGUAACGCGUGGGAAUCUACCCUUCUCUACGGGAUAGCUCCGGGAAACUGGAAUUAAUACCGUAUACGUCCUGAGGGAGAAAGAUUUAUCGGGGAAGGAUGAGCCCGCGUUGGAUUAGCUAGUUGGUGGGGUAAAGGCCUACCAAGGCGACGAUCCAUAGCUGGUCUAAGAGGAUGAUCAGCCACAUUGGGACUGAGACACGGCCCAAACUCCUACGGGAGGCAGCAGUGGGGAAUAUUGGACAAUGGGCGCAAGCCUGAUCCAGCCAUGCCGCGUGAGUGAUGAAGGCCCUAGGGUUGUAAAGCUCUUUCAGGGGGGACGAUAAUGACGGUACCCACAGAAGAAGCCCCGGCUAACUUUGUG